AUUGAACGCUGGCGGCAUGCUUUACACAUGCAAGUCGAACGGUAACAGGCCGCAAGGUGCUGACGAGUGGCGAACGGGUGAGUAAUGCAUCGGAACGUGCCCAGUCGUGGGGGAUAACGCAGCGAAAGCUGCGCUAAUACCGCAUACGAUCUAUGGAUGAAAGCGGGGGACCGUAAGGCCUCGCGCGAUUGGAGCGGCCGAUGUCAGAUUAGGUAGUUGGUGGGGUAAAGGCUCACCAAGCCAACGAUCUGUAGCUGGUCUGAGAGGACGACCAGCCACACGUGGACUGAGACACGGCCCAGACUCCUACGGGAGGCGGCAGUGGGGAAUUUUGGACAAUGGGCGCAAGCCUGAUCCAGCAAUGCCGCGUGCAGGAAGGAGGCCUUCGGGUUGUAAACUGCUUUUGUACGGAACGAAACGGUCCUGGUUAAUACCCGGGGCUAAUGACGGUACCGUAAGAAUAAGCACCGGCUAACUACGUGCCAGCCGCCGCGGUAACAC
rnacentral:rRNA from 1 species